ensembl:snoRNA
AAAAAAAGAAAAUCACCUUCGGCCUCUACCGUGGCCGCGGGUGAGAUCCAGCACCUAAAGGCGGCGGGGCCUCAGCUCACCACCCGCCCGCAGUGCGCACAGGUGAAACCCAGGCCCUAACACUU